rnacentral:rRNA from 1 species
UACGUAGGGGGCGAGCGUUGUCCGAAGUUACUGGGCGUAAAGCGCGCGUAGGCGGUCACUUAAGUUAGAUGUGAAAUCCCGCAGCUCAACUGCGGAACUGCAUCUAAAACUGGGCGACUUGAGGACGGAAGAGGGCAGUGGAAUUCCUGGUGUAGCGGUGAAAUGCGUAGAUAUCAGGAGGAACACCCGUGGCGAAGGCGGCUGCCUGGUCCGUAUCUGACGCUGAGGUGCGAAAGCUAGGGGAGCGAACGGG